GCACCAUUUGUAACCAUAGCUGUUAUUACAAAUGAGGUCAUCCAUAUUAGAAUGAAGAUCUGAUCUGCAGCCAAUAAAAAAUAUGUGGGUUGAAAACAUCCACAACAUCACCAAGAGCCGCCGCCUUUCAAUCUGCUGAAAAUGCCAGUGAGCCACCUCCCUUGGUCUUCCAUCUUCGGGAUAUUAUGUGCUCCCAGUCCUGGGGAGGGUCUCAGGGAAAAGGCUAGAUCAACUGAUGAAAAGUGCCAGAAAAGCUGUUAUCAACGAAUAUCUGCAUUUGUGAAUAAUUUCCAUGUAGCCUUUCAGACGUGGGAACCUUGGCACCCAUGUAGAAAAAUAUUACUACAUUGAAUCCACUGAUGUUUCCUUACCGUGAACAAUUCAAAUAUGAAGUAUAAACUGCCAGCACGGUCCUUGAUAAAACAAAAUUGAUACUCUGCAAAAGCUGUUUUCACACUCUUCCCCAUAUGGUCUAACUGCACGCCAAAUAAAAUCAUCGAGAAUAUAGGGUUAUGACAACAUUUGUUUGUUGUGCUUGAAAAUUGAUGUCAACAUCCUAUACAUGUCCUCUAACUAUAGCAAAACAGUAAAAAAGUCACACCACA